UAGCAUUCAUGUUACAAGUGUGGC
rnacentral:siRNA from 1 species